AUGCUGGUAGACGAAUAGCUUGGUUUUGGUUUUGAUGAAGAACGUGGCAAGCUGCGAUAAGCUCGGGGGAGCCGCAUGCAGGCAUUAAUCCCGAGAUUUUUGAAUGCGCCGAGAGGCGGAAAUACGCUGGGAAUUGAAACAUCUUAGUACCGGCAGGAAAAGAAAACAAUUUGUGAUUCCCUUAUUAGCAGAGAGCGAAAAGGGAUCAGGGCGAACUGAAUCUUUCUUCGAAAGAGGAAUAGAGAUGUGGUGAGGGUAAAUAACUAAGUCAUUAGUCAAAGUCUCCUGGAACGGAGCACCGUAGAGGGUGAUAGUCCCGUAGAUAAAUGUGAUACGUUGUUCCUCAACGAGUAAGGCUUCCUGGAUUGGAGGUCCGAAUAUGGCAGGAUUAACUGCUAACCCUAAAUAAAACCAAAGUCCGAUAGUGAACUAGUACCGCGAGGGAAAGCUGAAAAGUACUCUUAAUAGAGUGUGAAAAGACUUGAAAUCUACCAGUUACAGUUUGUUACGAAUCUUAAAAAGGGUUUGUAACGUACGUUUCGAAAAACGGGCCAGGGAGUUUUUUUAUGUGGCAAGGUUAACUUUUUUUGAAAGGAAGCCGUAGCGAGAGCAAGUAUGAAAAUGCGUUAGUCACAUGGAUAAGACCUGAAGCCAGAUGAUCUAUCCAUGGGCAAGCUGAAGUCUUUCGAAAGGAGGAUGGAGGGCUGAACCGUUGUUAUGGACAUGUACUCGAAUGAUCUGUGGAUAGGGGUGAAAAGCCUAUCUAAUUUGGCGAUGGCUGGUUCCUGCUGAAAUAUGCCUACGUAUAGUCUUGUUUUGCUUGUAAGCGGUGUAAAGUACGGAUGAAUCUUGCAGGGGCUAUUGCUUACGGAGAUUUUUUCAACUCAGAAACUGUUUACUGCAUUGGACAAGAAACAGGGUCAGUAUGUAAGAUACUGUUCCGAGACCUAAACAAAGGAGAUCAAAGUUAAGGUCCCAAAAUUUGUGCUAAGUGUAUCAAAAGGUGUCUUGAACCUGAGACACUAGGGAUGUAAGCUCAGAAGCAGCUAUCAUUUAAAGAAAGCGUAACAGCUCACCUAUUGAGGUUCAGGGCCCUGAAAAUGGACGGGGCUAAAGCACAAUACCGAUACUUUGACGGCACCCAGAAGGGUGUUCGGGUAAGCAGGCGUGGUAUUUGCGCAGAAGUUUUUACGAGAGUAAGGAUGGAGCGAAUACUAAUGAGAAUCCUGGUAAUAGUAGGAAGUGAUUUUACUGAGAAUGUAAAACGUCGAAAGGGUAAGGUUUCCUCAGCAAUAUAUGUUAGCUGAGGGUUAGUCAGCACCUAAGUUGUAUCCUAACCGAGUACAACGAUGGAUGACAGGUUAAUAUUCCUGUACUGAUUGAACCUUUUGUAAAUUAUCGCUUUCGGAUAAGCAAGCACUCGAAAGGGUGUUUUAACAAGAAAUCUGUCGAGGGUAAUCCAUAGACACAGAUGAAUUUUUGAAUUCGUUGCUGAUUCCAAGAGCCAGUGAAAAGUAAUUUGCUUAACGGGUUUAGUUAGCUGUACCCAUAACCAGCACUGGUGCCCUAGCUUAGAAGGCUAAGACGUGAAGGGUAAAACCAAUUGAGGGAAUUCGGCAAGUUAGUCCUGUAUCUUCGGAUGAAGGGAUGUCUAUCUUUGUGAGCUUCAGAAAUGUGUUUGCAUUAGUAGAUCUCAGUAACAAGGACGGCCCGACUGUUUACCAAAAACGUAGCCAAGUGCAAAUCAGAAAUGACUCGUAUACUUGGUGAAACCUGCUCAGUGGUGGUGUCUAAAACUCCUUUUCAAGGGAGCUAAGGUCCAUUAAACAGCGGGGGUAACUAUGACCCUCUUAAGGUAGCGUAAUACCUUGUCGUAUGAAUUGCGACUUGCAUGAAUGGUUUAACGAGGUUGUUACUGUCCCCAAUUGGAGCCCUCUGAAAAUAUUUUCUGGUGCAAAGACCAGAGACGCCUAGUGGGAAGCGAAGACCUUGUGGAACUUUACUGCAACUUGUUGUUGUGAAUUUAAUUAAAAUGCAUAGCAUAGGUAGGAGCGUCGAAACCCUCAUUUCGGUGGGGGUGGAGCAAAAUUGUAAUACUACCCAUUUUGUUUAAGUUUGCUUACUCUUUAGGGGACAGCAGCAGGCGGGCAGUUUGGCUGGGGCGGCGCCCUGUCGAAAAGAUAUCGAUAGGACCCAAAGACAAGCUCAUCCAGCUUGGAAAUCUGGAGAUGAGUGCGAAGGCAAAAGCUUGUCUAACUGUAUUUUGAAAAGCAAGAAAUGCAGAGACGAAAGUCGGGCUUAGUGAACCCACGUACUUUUUUAAUAGAAGUCGUGUCUGAUAGAAAAGUUACCCCAAGGAUAAUAAGCUGGUCGCUCCCGAUAGUCCAUAUUGACGGAGCGGUUUGGUAUUUCGCUGUCGGCUCUC
rnacentral:rRNA from 1 species